rnacentral:pre_miRNA from 1 species
UAAUUACUUCCUCCGUCCAAUAAAAGAUGUUUUAAAUUUGUGAAAAUUUAGAUGUAUCUAAAUAUGACUUAGUGUAUAGAUGCAUUAAAAUUUGAUCAAAGUUGAGACAUCUUUGUUGGACAGAGAGAGUAGUAG